UCUACGGGAGGCAGCAGUGGGGAAUAUUGCACAAUGGGGGAAACCCUGAUGCAGCGACGCCGCGUGAGUGAAGAAGUAUUUCGGUAUGUAAAGCUCUAUCAGCAGGGAAGAAAUAGCGACCUUUGGGUCGCCAGACGGUACCUGAUUAAGAAGCCCCGGCUAACUACGUGCCAGCAGCCGCGGUAAUACGUAGGGGGCAAGCGUUAUCCGGAUUCACUGGGUGUAAAGGGAGCGUAGACGGCGAGACAAGUCUGGAGUGAAAGGACGGGGCCCAACCCCGGGACUGCUCUGGAAACUGCCUGGCUGGAGUACAGGAGAGGUAAGUGGAAUUCCUAGUGUAGCGGUGAAAUGCGUAGAUAUUAGGAGGAACACCAGUGGCGAAGGCGGCUUACUGGACUGUAACUGACGUUGAGGCUCGAAAGCGUGGGGAGCAAACAGGAUUAGAUACCCCUGUAGUC
rnacentral:rRNA from 1 species